UGCACCAUCUAUACAUGGCUUCAUCAGGUAGAGCCUGCUCACCUGGCACCAUCUAUACAUUGCUUCAUCAGGUAGAGCCUGCUCACCUGCACCAUCUAUACAUGGCUUCAUCAGGUAGAGGCUGCUCACCUGGCACCAUCUAUACAUUGCUUCAUCAGGUAGAGCCUGCUCACCUGCACCAUCUAUACAUUGCUUCAUCAGGUAGAGCCUGCUCACCUGGCACCAUCUAUACAUGGCUUCAUCAGGUAGAACCUGCUCACCUGGCACCAUCUAUACAUGGCUUCAUCAGGUAGAGCCUGCUCACCUGCAUCAUCUAUACAUGGCUUCAUCAGGUAGAGCCUGCUCACCUGCACCAUCUAUACAUGGCUUCAUCAGGUAGAGCCUGCUCACCUGGCACCAUCUAUACAUGGCUUCAUCAGGUAGAACCUGCUCACCUGGCACCAUCUAUACAUGGCUAUAUCAGGUAGAUCACCUAUGUUAGGGUGUCAACAUUUUAAGGAAAUUAUAAUUGUUUUUAUAUGCCUUUGUUUAACAUGGUAUUUAGGAUUUAUAUGACCAGACACACAGACUACAGUACUUACAUUGCCACUCAUACUUUCUAAGGCCAUUACUUCAAGGAAACAGUCAAUAGCAAAGGAACCACCAGGAAUCCUGAUGCAUCUAUGUGGACAUUCAGAUUACCAUGUUGUGUAUUAUAUGUGUAUAUACUUGCCGUUUACUGCACUUUCUUCUUUCUGGCUGGCACUGACAGCUGUUAAAAUGUAACUAGAAUUGCUUUUAAUGUAUGUAUGUAUAUAAAUAAAAGGAUUUAUGAUUGCAUAAGAA